CACUGAAAUUGAAAACCUUUAAUAUUACAUGACGUAGUACGCGAUUUAUUUAUUUAAAUUUACAGACUAAAAAAAAUUUGAAUGCAUAACAGCACGGAAUCCUGAUGACACGAAUAUUACUUGACACAGACCGCGAUUAUUUGAUAUAAAUUUACAUCACAUAUGAUGUAAAUAAAAAGAAGCAUCACAUAUGACGGAAUUUUCAAUGCGAAUUUAAUAUUACACGUCCUAAAUAUUUUACAUGUUUUCCAAUUCUACGCGUCUUUAGAAGUGAAUUAGAAAUUUCUGAAAAUUACACGACACGUAAUGUAAUAACUCCACGGAGUUAUAUUAAUAUUACAUUACACUGAGCGCGCUCAUGUCAUGUAAAAAUAAAAACUGUCAAAAACAGAAAAAAAGUCUUCAGUCAAGUCGUGCACCAAAGCGAUUUUCCGAAUGUUUGAUAUAGCAGAUUUUUCGGUUAGUUCUCAAUAAUUUAAAAAUCAAUUACAAAUAUGUUCGUCAUCGAGUUUUCCGUGUGAUUGGCCUCUCGGGAGGUUUAUGAAAGAUUUUAGUGCAGCGGUACGGCGAUGAAUUUGACAGAUGAUUGAAGUUUUGUUUAAUUUUAUUUGUUGAUUUUUUUUUCGCAACACAAGAGAAAAUUGAAUGUGGAAAGGAAAGAAAGUGUAAAAUUAUCAAGCUGCCACUGAAUCAUUUUUAACGGGAGUCGGAAAAUCCUCGUUUUCAAUUCAAGGUGCAGAAAUAUUUAAGGAUAAGCUGCCGUUUCCGGAAGCGAAAAUCCAUCAUCUGGACGUAUAAAAUUUGUAAGCAGCUCACUAGUCCCAUUAAAAAGAACUACAAGUUGACGAAGGCCUCCCCUGGGAGAAGAUCGCAAUAAUGAAUGCUAUCCAAGAGUGGGCAGGGAAGAGACAAAAACGUAACACCGAUAUCAUCGUUCUAAUCUUCCUGAUUGAGUCAAUAUGUUUACGCAGUGGACGUGGCUGCCAAUGAGCGUAUAGGUAAGCCUUUUUAUUGUUCUUGUUCCAAAUAACUUUCCUUAUAAAAAAGUAAGAAAACAGUAGGUACACCUAGAAUAGUGCAAUGCAGCUGUUUAAACCCACACAAAACAUUUCUUGUCUAAAAACGUUUAAGGAAGACUUGGACUACACGUGAAACGAUAUGUUGUCACUUGGUUCGAUGUAUCCUAUCAAAAGAUUUAUUAGGGGGAAUUUUUAUUCGUUCCUUUUAUUAAGCAAUUAAUUUGAAUCAUUCAGGAAAAAUAGCGCAUGUGUGAUCGAAAAAUCUUAUUUUGGAAGACAUUUCUAAACUUUUUUUCUCCCACAGGCACAUAUUUCAUAACCCGAGGAGUUGCACUCGAUCAGUGAUGGUGCCAAAGGUUCAAAUUGAUCAAACAGGCGAUUGAUAAACAUUGAAAUUCCGAUUUUAAUACACCAUAAAACAGACGAAUAUAGUUUGUCUUCGCGAUGCAAGAGAAACAAAAUGCCGAAUUGAAUUUCCUUGGCUCCAAUUGCAGGAAGUUGAUAUGGGGCCAUCUGUCAAAGGAACUGAGCCAAAAACUCAUGGUACGAUCUAUUCCGCGGACACUACGUGACCACCAAGUAAGCCAGGUUUUCCAGGCCGCCGGAUGAAGUUCGUUGUUUUUAUCGAACGCACCCAGCUCGAGAAAUCCAACGGAACUAACCAUAGACGUAAGCGUCCAACAAAUCAAUUGUUCAAUCGUGAAGCGGAAGACCUCCCCAAAAAUUCGUCGCUAAACGAAAUAAAUAAUAUUGAUUGUGAAAUACUGUUUUUUUUUACCGGGAAAUCAAUAGCAGUGAAUCAGUCUUCUAAAAAGUAAACAAACCUCAUUCCAAUAGGAUUUUUUUCUUCCUAAAUUCAGUGGUUUUUAAAUUUACAUCACUUCAAUAUUACACGUCUGCAGAAAUUUACAGGCGUGCAAUAUUCAACUCACACUGAAAAUUCCGUC